ACUGUGAUGACUGCCAUUUAAUAACAAAAACACUAACCUAAAAAAAUAUUUAUCUUACACAAGUGUAGCCUUUACAAAAUACAGUCAUCGUUUCCUCAAUUAAAGGUUUUAGUCACAGGAGGAUGUAAGGUUCUUUCUCUGAACCCCAUGUAUGAGUUUCAUCUCGAAGGCAGCCGUCUUGCCUUCUUCUGCCUUAAAGCUGCAGUAGACAAAAAUCUGAAGAAUGCCAAUCCUUCCCCUCUUGCAUAUCAAAUACCCUGCUCUCUCAAGUCCUCCAUCUUCUCCAUUGCACCACCACAACCUGCACUCACUGUGGACUUGGUUGCUUUUUAUACUAGCUUACUUGCUCUAGGUGAAAAGCCCUGUGAUCGGCUAAUAUCUCCCAUUAUGGGCUAGAUUGUUAAACGGUGCCAAGAGGAGAUGGUCUAGUUUCCUCUCAGACUACUUAUGAUAUGCUGAAAGGUUAGUAUGAUACUUUUGCCCAGUGAUGCCAAAAAAGUACUGCCGAGUCUUGCUUCAAGUGAGUUUAAAAUCUAGUCUGUGACCUGGUCUGGAGCUUGUUGUCCACUGCUUCAUGAAAUGAUGAUUUUUUAUUUAUUUAUUUAUUUUUUUUUACAGGUGACAGUGAGGGUGUCAAUGAGCUUUACACCUCAGAUGGUACCGAAAUAUGCCCAUCAGCCAGUUCCAUACCCGGAAGUCUUCUUAACUCUUGGAGCCCCAGGAGAAAACCUUGUGAUCCCUCUGAGCCCAGUACCUGGUAGACGGCUGUCCUUUGACCUAAACCUUGUCCCCAGAGAAGAUGUUAAUUCCAGGCACUGCUCUCCAAGCCAUGCAAGUCCCAGGAAAACCCACUCAAGGCAAUCAUCCCCCAACAAAAAAAAAAAAGAUAAGAAAAACAGUGGCAACAAACAUUAGUCAGGUAUGCCACAUUGUAAAUGAUAUAUGAAGGAAAAUAACUGAUUAAUGUGAGAUGUUGGUAACUGGCUAGGAAAAUAGAGGACUGAACAUUGAAAAAUUAUAUUAAAAUAAAAUUUAAUUGGUAGUUUUCAUAUACUCAGUAAUUAGAAACGCUUGCUAGAGUAGAACAAAAGAUUAUUCUGUUUUUAUUGGGUUAAUUGUUAAGGCUUUUUUCCUUUGCUAGUUAAAUGUUUAAUUGUCUGUUAUGUUGUGGGUGAUAACUCAUUGCUUUGCUUUUUCAAAUGUAAAUGCAUUCCAUAAAGUAAAAAGUGAAACCGUUUUAUCUGCUUCUCCAAACACAGCAAUUGCUGGUUAGCUGGAAUUAAACCCACAGGUCUGGCAAACUGUGUGAAACCAUGACAAAAAAAGCAUAAGAAAACACACCACAAACUGAAUCUGGCUAGUGAUAGAAAAUAUUUGAUCACAGUUACAUGUGCAAUAUUCAUAUUAAUGAUUCUAACACAGUUUAAUGUAUUGUUAUCAAAGCUAACUUGGUUGUACAAGGUUGACCAUGAAUGCAAGUAAAGAGAAAACAUAACACUUCAGAAAUAUAUAGCAUUUAUUGAAGAUUUACAGAAGAAAAUAUUCAGGGGCUCAUAUUGUAUGAGCUCUUAAUUGCCUCAACUGGAUCUUGUGUCUUAUUCAGCAGAGUCACUUCCCUGAAAGUAAGAGAAAAUAUGUGUACAUUGAGGUAGUGUUUGUAGAAAUUUAUGUAGGAAUACGAUUGCAUGCAGUAUGCACUGAUAAAAAAAAAAAAAAAAAAAAGGAAAGCAAUAUGUUAUGCAAUGAUAAUACUUGAGUUAAAGUUUGGGGAAUAUUGCUCUGCAACUGGGCGUUCAUUUCAGAAAUCAUUAUGGAUAUUGUCCUUAUAUAUAUGACAUUAGAACUUAUAAAUCAUGGCUGUUUAGAGGAAGUAUGUGCAUAUAAUUAAUAUACGAUACUGCCAAAGAAAAUAAAACGUUACCUUUCCAACAUCACGGCUCUUGGCUCUCAGCUUGUUGACCUGGGACUCAGCAAUGUCAGCACGCUCCUGAGCUUCCUCCAGUUCAUGCUGAACCUUUCUGAGCCUGGACAUGUGGGUGUUGGCCUGUUCCUCCUGUGAAGAGAUUACAGUUAUGCUGACCUAGUUACAGAUCACUUAAUGGUGACAUUACGGAUCCAGCUGUAACUGAUAUAUAUAUACUACCAUUCAAAAGUUUGGGGUUUCUUAGAAAUGUCCUUAUUUUUGAAAGAAAGGCAGUUUUUCUCAAUGAAGAUAACAUUAGUCAGAAAUCCAGUCUAGACAUUGUUAAUGUGGUAAAUGACUAUUCUAGCUGGAAACGGCUGAUUUUUUAAAUGGAAUAUCUACAUAGGGGUACAGAGGAACAUUUCCAGCAACCAUCACUCCUGUGUUCUGAUGGUACAUUGUGUUAGCUAAUCAUGUUGAAAGGCUAGUUGAUGAUUAGAAUUUGCCUGGGUGAUCCCAAGCUUUUGAACAAUAGUGUAUAUAUAUAUACAGGGUGUCCCCAAAAAAUUGACAUCAUAUCAUCACCUAAUAAUUUGUUUAAAAUUUUGCUCUUUUUGCUCAAAAAAGUGUAUGGAUUGGACAUGCUAAUGAUGAAGACAACGUGCUAUUCAUAAUGGCCCCCAUGCUCACCUGACCUAACACUUUGCAGUUUCUUUCUGUGGGGUAACAUGAAAAGACUGGUCUAUAUCCACCACUUCUGAAAACAUGCUGCAGCGAGUGUGGCAGGAACUCCACUACCGACUUGAUAUGUGCCGCGUCACAAGCGGUGCAUACAGUGAACAUUUGUAAUAACUUUGGAACAUUAUAAAAUUACCAUCUCCCAGAAUUUUUCAUUUGAGAUUUGUUGAGUAAAACAUUUUAUGUCCAAAAUACAUCCUAUUAGGUAUCAUUUCUCCUGACCAUGUAGUCACUCCGAUAUGGACAUUUCAAAUGAUGUCAAUUUUUUCUGGGACACCCUGUAUAUGUGUGUAGUUGACGUACAGCCUCUUCAGCUUGUCUCUUGUAAGCCUUGACUUUGAGCUGCAGCUUGUCCACCAGAUCCUGAAGUCUGGUCACAUUCUUCUUGUCCUCCUCAGUCUGCACAGAAAAAGGAUUGUUACUUAUAGUGUUACAGCAGAAUCAGGGAGUAAUUAUAAUAGCUUUUAAUGAAAUUAGUUACCUGGUAGGUCAGCUCCUUCACUCUCCUCUCAUAUUUGCGCACUCCUUUGACAGCAUCAGCUCCACGUCUCUGCUCACCUUCAACUUCAGCCUCAAGCUCACGCACCUGUAAGGUGAUGAUAAAUGGUUUAAUUUAUGUACUUGGGUUUGAGCACAAUGAAAGCAAGCCAGGGUUUAUGAGAUGUACUUAGUGUUAUGUUCACUCAUAUAUUAGUUUUUUAUAAUUUAUACAGAGUUUAUACCCUGGACUCCAGUUUCUGGAGCUGCUUCUUGCCACCCUUCAUGGCCAGGUUCUCAGCCUCAUCCAGACGGUGCUGCAGGUCCUUGACUGUGACCUCCAGGUUCUUCUUCAUCCUCUCCAGGUGAGCGCUGGUGUCCUGCUCCUUCUUCAGCUCCUCAGCCAUCAUGGCAGCCUGAAAUGAUUUAAUGUUUUCUAUGUAAUUCGCGAUUUAUAAUAGACGUGAAAAUAUCACAACAUGGAAACAGCCAAAAAGAUAAAUACAUAGAAGAGUUAUAGACAUAAUCUCACAUCAGUGAUAGCCUUUUUGGCUUUCUCCUCAGCAUUUCUUGCUUCCUGAACAGCAUCAUCCACCUCACUCUGGACCUGGACAAAGUCAGCCUCCAGCUUCUUCUUGGUGUUCAGAAGGCUGGUGUUCUGAAUGAUUAAAGAAAUCAUGUAAUAGAAAUAAAAGUUUAAAAUAGUAUUUGCAAUGUAUUUUCAAGAAAGAUUUUUUUGUGAAUGAAUAAAAUCCAACCUGAGAGUGAAGCAGGCCGACACGCUCACUAGCAUCAACCAACUCCUGCUCAGCCACUUUGCGUCCUCUCUCUGUCUGCUCCAGAGCAGCUCUCAGCUCUUCAAUCUCAGCCAUCAUCAGACCAUUCCUGCGCUCCACCAUGGCAACCUGCUCCUUCAUGUCUUCCUGUCCUCUGACGGCAUCAUCAAGGUGCAGUUGAGCAUCCUGAAAAAAAGAGGAGUUUACGUUAAUUUUCAUUAUUCUCAAAUUGUUUGUUUUUAAUCCACCAGUCACAGAAAACUUACCUUGAGCUGUCCCUGGACGUUCCUCAGUUGUUUCUGGGCUUCAGCAGCCUGCCUGUUGGCAUGGCUCAGCUGAAUCUCCAUCUCAUUCAGGUCUCCCUCCAUCUUCUUCUUGACUCUCAGGGCAUCAUUCCUGCUCCUGACCUCAGCAUCAAGAUUGCUCUGCAUGGAGUCUAUCACCCUCUGGCUGUUCCUCUUGAUCUGUUCCAUCUCCUCAUCCUUCUCUGCCAGCUUCCUGUCGACCUCACCUUUGACCUGGUUCAGCUCAAGCUGAAUACGAAGAAUCUUGGAUUCCUCAUGCUCCAGUGUGCCCUGCAAGAAAAGUCAGUUAAGUACCAAAAUGACAGUUUAGUCAUGAUGACAAAACACAUUUGACAUCAGUUGGAUCGGGUGGCAAUGUUUACUAUUUGUCACAAUAGUCAGCAAAGUUUAAAAGGUAUUACCUCAGCUUCCUCCAGGGCAGUUUGAAUUUCAGCCUUCUCACUUUCCACAGUCUUCUUGGCUUUUUCCAGCUCAUGGAUGCUCUUUCCAGUCUCACCAAUUUGUUCAGUCAGAUCAGAGAUCUCCUCUACAGAGUUAACACAACAAAGAUAAUUACUCAUAGACUCUUUACAGCUAGUAAUGACUGAUUAUUUGCUUUUAAUGUCAAUAACAAUGCACAUACGUUGCAGGUUCUUAUUCUCUCUCUUCAUGGUCUCCAGCUGAUCCAGAGCCUCCUCAUAGGAGUUCUUCAUCUUGAACAACUCAGUGCUGAGAGAACGAGCCUCCUUCUGUGCUCCCUCCAGUUCUGCCUGGCCCUCCUCAUACUUCUGCUUCCAUUCUGCCAGGACCUAGAAACACAAAGAAGUAGAAUAUUUUGUCUGGGAUUGGUGAAGUCUUGUGUUGAACCUGGUUUUGCUUUUUAAUGUAAGCACUGACCUUAUCAAAGUUCCUCUGCUUCUUGUCAAGGUUGGCAGCCAGAGCGUUAGCUCUCUCCACAUCAAUCAUGAGGUCCUCCACCUCACCCUGCAGCCUCUGCUUGGUCUUCUCCAAAGAGGCACACUUGGAGUUCACAGCCUCAAUGGAUUCCUCGGCCUCCUGCAGGCGCUGGGCAAGCUUUUUCCUGUGGUGAGCAAAGAGUCAUCUUUGCUUACAUGGACAUGCUUUCACAAAACAAACAGAUUUACCAGGUGAUUUAUCUGAUAUGGAAAGGCAAGGAGUUUUAUUUACUUGGCCUCCUCCAGCUCCUCAGUGCGCUGGAUAGCAUCAGUCUCAUAUUUGCUUCUCCACUGAGCCACCUCACUGUUGGCCUUGGACAUUCCUCUCUGCAGCUCAGCCUUGGCCUCCUGCUCCUCCUCAAACUGCUCUCUGAGCAGAUCACAGUCAUGGCGAGCUGACUGAACAGCAUGGGCCAGGGCAUUCUUUGCCUAUAAAUUUAUUAUAAGAAGCAUUAACCAAUUAAUUAAUUCUGUAAAUGUUUUUUAGUACAUACACAAAACACAGAGUAUCUUUUCUUCAGAUAGUUAUUUAACCUUGUUAACAAAGAAACAGAAUUUGACGUUUCCAUUGUUGCCCGACUCAUUCCUUCGAAUCAUUGGUAGAUCCAUGCUUCAUCCACGUAUUGUUAAAAUCAGUCAUAGUCGAGACAUCAUGUAUACACAUCACUAAACUUGAUUAAUACAGACAGCCAAAUACAUGCAAUCUAUGGACAUUGCAAUAUAAAGCAGGCAAUACAAAUAUGAAGUCUGGUACCUUCACUUCCUCCUCAAUGUGUCUCUUGAGCUCUUCAAUUUGUUGAGUGUAGGCCUGUUUGCCUCUGGUGAGCUGGGAAAUAAGAGCUUCCUUCUCUUCAAUCUGGCGAGUAAACUCACCUGAAAAUGAGAAAAAAAAUAAGAUUAAGAUAUUUGUGGCUUCUUUCAGAGCUAAAAUAAAGUGAAAGAUGUUUUACAAUUAAAGGAGAAUAAACAAUUUGAAAUAACUGGACAACAUAUAUGGAAAUGUGAAUUGUCUUUAAAUGGGACCUUAUGUAAUACAUUAGUACAGGUAGUAACCAGCUAAACCAUCUUAAGAUAUAAAUAAACUGGACCUAAACUUUUCCUAAUUAAUAUAGUAGUAUACAUUUUGCACUUUUGAAUACGCACCAUUCUCUGUCUGAAGUCUUGCCCUCUGUGCACUCAUGUCAUUCAGCUGGCGAACGUUCUCAUCAUUUUUGGAUUUGAUUUCAUUCAACUGGUCUUCAAGAGUUCGGCACAUUUUCUCCAGAUUGGCCUGUAAUUGGAAUACAAUUAAUACAACUCAAGUCCAGUGAACAUGUAACUUACUGAUCAGCAUUUCUAGCUAUUCUCCACUUUAAAUGAUGAUGAUAGUUGAAAAAAUCUCAUUGUCGUUUCCUCUAAAGAAUAUUGAAUACCUUUGCCUUGGCAACAGCCUCCAUGUUGCUGGAGAGGUCAUCAAUCUCCAUCUUGUACUCACUCUUCUCCUUCUCCAGCUUCUGCUUGACACGCUGAAGGUUGUCGAUCUGCUCUCCCAGCUCUGCAACGCUGUCAGCCUGCUUCUUGCGGAGAGCUGCUGCAGUAGCUUCAUGCUGCAGGGUGGCUUCUUCCAGGUCACGACGCAACUUCUGGAACUCAGCCUCACGCUUCUUGUUCAUCUCAAUCUGAGCAGCUGUUGCUCCACCAGCCUCCUCAAGCCUCUCACUGAUCUCCUCAAGCUCCCUGGAGAGAUCAGCUCUCUGCUUCUCUACCUUAGCUCGAGCAGCCCUCUCAGCCUCAAUCUCCUCCUCCAGCUCCUCAAUGCGAGCCUAGAGUUGAUGAUGGUUCCAUCAAGAAGAUUUAGUGACUUAAACAUGCUGUUUUAGAAUGUGAAAUAUUUGUAUAGAGGUAAAAUAAUGAUACCUGGAGUUCCUUGAUCUUCUUCUGAAGCUGAGCACCAAGGGACUGUUCAUCCUCAAUCUUGCUGAGGAGCUGGCUGGUCUCAAAGUCCUUCCUUGAUGUGGGGAACAAAAAACAAUUAGGCCUAACACAGUCCCAUUCUGACAGGCAUAAUGUACUUCUAUGUAUGAAUGCAGGAAUAUUGAUAUCUAAAUUUUGUCACUUACUUCUUGAGUUUCUCCUCAGAUUGCUGCUUGUCAUUCUCCAGAUCCAUUAUGGAUUCCUGGGCCAGUUUCAGAUCUCCCUCAAGCUUCCUCUUGGCUCUCUCAAGGUCCAUGCGGAGCUUCUUCUCUUGCUCCAGUGAGCCCUCAAGCUAUAAAAUAAGGCACUUUGAGUUUGUACAGCGGAACCAACUUAAAAUUUCACUGUACUUCAGUACCCUCAGUAUAUAAACUUACAUCAUCCACUUGCUGUUCCAGCUUUGUCUUAGCCUUGGUCAGAGUGUUGACUUUGUCUUCCUCUGCCUGGAGGUCAUCCAGUGUCUGCUGAUGGGCCUCUUGGAGGGCUUUCUUCUCCUUGGUCAGCUUGGCAAUGGCUUCAUCUUGAGAGGCCAUCUCUUCUGUCAGGUUUUUCACCUGGAAUUAAGUGCAAAGUUUAACUUACCUCUUAAGCAUUAUGUUAAAUAAAAGAGUUUAAUAUCCAUCUCAGUCAUUAAAUUCAUUUAAAGAGUAUAACAGUGUGUAUGAUUAUGUAUAUAUAUAUAUUUCUAUGCUAUGUAAAACAAUGUCAAAAUGAAAUGAACCUUGUUUUCUGUGGCAUGUUUCUCCUUCUCCACUUUGGCCAAGGUGAGCUCCAAGUCAUCAAUGUCCUUCUUCAGCUCAGAGCAUUCAUCCUCCAACUUCCUCUUCUUGGCAGUCAGCUCAGCAUUGAUUUCCUCUUCAUCCUCCAGUCUCUCAGUUGUCUCUUUGAGUUUGGCCUCGAGCUGGAUCUUGCUCUUAAUGAGCCCCUCACACCUUUCCUCAGCAUCAGAGAGGUUUUCAGUUUCCUACAGAAAGAACAUAUGUGUGGUAUUACUUUGACUGAAAUAUGUUUAAAAUUGUAGUCAGUGUAUUGUUUAUGUGUAAUUACAACAUUAAUAGUAAUUUGUAUAGAACAGCAAAAAAGGAUAGUAAACAUCUGACUAUAAACGAUCACAUGAAUAUACAGUUAAUUUUUCAGCAAAGUGAACAUCACACAUAUUUUCCAUGUCACUUACUGCAGCCACUUGGAGUUGCAGGUCAUUCUUCUCCUGCAGCAGGGAAACCAUCUUCUCCUCCAGCUCCUUCUUCUUGGCUAAAGCAGUAGCCAGGUCUGUCUGCAUCUUCCCAUAGUUCUCCUUCAUCUGCUGCAACUCCUUCUCAGUCUCAGCACUCUUCAGGAGAGGCUUGAUCUUGAAGUACAGAUGCAUCCAUGGCCAGUUCUUGACAUUCAUGAAUGAGCGGAUGUUGUACUGGAUGGUGAAGAUUGCAUCUCUACAGAAGUAAAACUAAUUAGUGUCUAAAUAUUGUUUUGUUUAACAUCACAUUCUAAUAUUUCGCUGGCAGUUUUGUAUCAGCUGUAUUGUAGUCCUACCUCCUCUCCAUCAUCUUUACAAACUCUUUCCUCAUUUGGUAUCCUCUGCAGAGAGCCUGAGUCAUUGUUACAAGUGUAGCUAGUUUGUCAUCUCUCAUCUCCUCAAGGGUACCCAGCAGACCAGCUUUGAAGAACACCUAUGGUGUCAAAUCAGCAGACUCAGUUGUCUGUACACAUAGAUACAACUGGAUAUACUGUAAUUAUAACCAAAUUCAAUACCAUUAGUGUAAGAUCUGUACCUUAGUGUGUCCAAACUUGUACUGAGUGUGGUCCACAUCAAUGGAGCCCAACAGCUUCUCUGAAGCUUUCUUGUUGUCAAUGAACUGUCCCUCAGGGAUGACACUGGCAUUCAAUACUUUGUAUCUGCAAGGUAGAUUUUAGUCCUUCAUAUUAUACAUACGAAACAAUAUGGUGGUUCCACUGACAUCACUGUUUUUCCUGAAAACUAUACCUUGUUUUUUUAAAAUUGAAAAUGCUGAUUACCUCUGCUUGAAGUCACCGUAGAGGAUUCUGCUGGGGAAGCCCUUUCUGCAGAUUCUGAUGCCCUCCAGCACACCAUUACACCUCAGCUGGUGGAUGACCAAGAAGUUCUCCAUAAGACCUGAGAGAUGGAAAUUCAUAGUUUAAAGCACAGCAUUAUUUUCAUUACUGUGCAGCAUACUGUAAGACUGUGGCCUUCUUACCUGGGGUCUUUGAUUCAUUGGGAAUCAGGCAGCGGACAAAGUGAGGAUGGGUGCUCCUCAAGUUGGUCAUCAGUUUGCCCAAGUUCUCCUGUGGAUCAGUAUCAUGAGAUAAUAGGUCAAUAUGACUUCAAUGUAAGAUUUUCAAUUGUUUUCCCAAAAAAAUGAAACUUUACACACUCUGAAAAGAGCGGACACAGUCUGGAAGGAACCACCCUUCUUCUUACCACCACCCUUCUUGCCACCACCACCAGAAGCCUCUGUUUUCCAAAACAUUGAAAAUUAGAAUCAUCACCACAGAGCAGUAAUCAACUCGUUACUGGUCAUGAACCCUAUGUAACAGAUGCAAUUAUUACCUGUAACUACACUUAUGGUACCUCACUGCACUUACUAAUUAGAUCUUUAUGGAUUGCACACUAGCUCAACCAAUUUGCUCCAUAUGUUGUACCAAUAAUAGGAAAUAACAUUGUUCACGAUUAUAAAAAUAUUCAAAUCAAACCACCUGGUAUGACCUACAGUUUAUACAUUUGUCAGCAAUAUCUAUACAAUAGUUCUAAUACAAUGAAGUACAACAUCCUUAUCACUUUAUUCCCUUUUAUUUCUUACCUUCAGCUGAGGCAUGGGAUGCAUAUAGGAAAGCCAGCAGUUUGUUUGCAGACUUCUGGUAGAGCUGUACCACUGAGUCGUUCAGUGGGUCCUUGUUCUUGUCCAGCCAGCCAGUGAUAUUGUAGUCCACUGUACCAGCAUAGUGAACCAGGGAGAAGUGAGCCUCAGCUUUGCCCUUUCCAGGCUUUGGCUUCUCAAAGGCCUUGGUCUUGCCAAGAUGCUGAUCAUGCAGCUUGUUCUUGAAAGAAGUAUCUGUUGCCUUGGGGAACAUGCACUCCUCUUCAAGGAUGGAGAAGAUGCCCAUUGGCUGAGAAGAAUUUACAAUUCGUGUUAAAAGUUUCCCAGCACAAGCAACCAUUUUACCAUCAAUCAAGACAUAUUUGGUUAUGUACCUUCUCGAUAAGCUCAAUGCAGGCAGCCAAGUCCAUACCGAAGUCAAUGAACUCCCAAUCAAUACCUUCUUUCUUGUACUCCUCUUGCUCCAGGACAAACAUGUGGUGGUUGAAGAACUGUUGCAGUUUCUCAUUGGUGAAGUUGAUGCAGAGUUGCUCCAAGCUGUUGAACUAUAAUUAAAGGAAAGUGUUUAAUUUCAUGGCAAAAUAGUAUUGAUCUUUAAAACUGCUUGAAUAUUUUUCAACUUCUCACAUCAAAGAUUUCAAAUCCAGCGAUAUCCAACACCCCAAUGAAGAACUGUCUUGGCUGCUUUGUGUCCAGCAUCUCAUUGAUACGGAUGACCAUCCACAAGAACAUUUUCUCAUAGACAGACUUGCACAGAGCGCUGACAGCAUUGUUGACCUAGAAAGAAAGAUUUUAGAGAUAUUUUUAUCCACCUGGAAAGUGCUGUAAUAUCCUAAAUAUUAUUUUAAUUUCACAAGGUGAAGCAGUUUGUUUUUUCAUUACCUGUGGGACGGUCUGACCUUUGGUCACAAACUCAUUGCCGACCUUGACUCUUGGGUAGCACAGAGCUUUCAGCAUAUCAGCUGAGUUCAGGCCCAUGAGGUAGGCAAUUUUAUCAGCCUCUGAUUAAAACAGCAAAAAUGUUUUAGAUUUAAAAAUGCUAUCUCAACAAUAUGACAUAAGAUACACAAUCAAUAUAGUUGCCAUUCACAAGAUUACUGAAGAAGUAUAUCAUAUUUUAUAUUGAAUGCUUGUUGGCAGUAACUGUUAGUCCCAUUGCAUUGCUUUUGUUAUGGCUGUCUCAUUCUUUUGGUUAUUUAUGGCUUGUCACUCUUUUGUUUUGGUACUAAUUACAUUCCAACUGUAAUAGUUAUUGCUUGCUACUACUUACACAUCUGAUUGUUGAUUGCCAGACUGUCUUUGCUGGUGAGGUGCCACUAGUUUGCAUUAAUCAACGAAUUCAUUGCUGUAGCAGUGUUAGGAUUACAAUAUUGUGGCACGAAUUGAUGCAGAAAACCCUUGCUUUGCGAGGUGAUUGAAUUUUUUUUCACUUGCUAUUGCAUCCUUUGGUAUUAUGUAAAGCAAUGCAACAUAAUAUGAGGGUGUAAUAUCAAAAAAUGUAUUAUUUACCCUCAGUGCCAUCAGGCUCAGCCUGCUCCUCCCUCUGCUUCUGCUUGAACUUCAUGUUGCCAUGAUGCAUCACAGCACCGGUCAGCUUGUAGAUGCCCACUUUCUCCUCACCGCUGAAACCCAGGAUGUCAAUAGCAGUCUGCAAUGAUAAUGAGACCAAAUUAUUAGUACUUGAAAGUUUUCCUGCAACUAUAUUAAGUAUAGGAUCCAACUCAAUCACUGACUUACAUCUGUUGCCAUGAACUCCUCCACAUCAUUGAUGCUCUUGACAGUGAUUUCACCCUGACUGAUCAUUGGAUAGUCAUAUGGAUUGGUGGUGAUCAGAAGAGCCUCUGGAAGAAAGCAGAGGAAAUGCAUUAGUGGGCACAUAUUUUUAUUAAUUUUCUUUUUAUUUAUUUAUUUUGUUAUAACAUACCCAGAAGCUCAGGCUUGUGUCCAGUCAUCAGCUGAUAGAAGAUAUGGUAGCUCCUCUCAGCAGACAACUGGAAGGUGACACGGGACUUCUCCAGCAGAUCUAAGAGUAUUUGACAGAUAGACAAAAUCAAACAAUGCAAGACAUUAUAUUUGUACACUACUAAUGUUGCCAAAUGCAAAUUGAUAGUAACUACAACUUACAUGUUUCAAUAUCCGCUGAGGCUAGCUUGCCAGUAGAGCCAAAGUGGAUUCUGAUGAAUUUACCCUAAACAUUCACCAGAAAAUGUCAGUUUAACUCUGGGUAUCAAUAAAUAUAAGACAUUUAUGUAAAGGUCUGUAAUAUAAAUACUUACGAAACGAGAGGAGUUGUCAUUCCUCACAGUCUUGGCAUUACCAUAGGCCUCCAGCAGAGGGUUGGCUGCAAUGAUUUGAUCUUCCAGCGAGCCCUACACAGAGAAAUUAUGAAGUUGUGUACAAACAACAACAAUUAAGUGUGGCAAAGAUGUUUAGCAGUCAGUCUUACCUGGAUUUUUCCUGAUGACUCAGCUUUCUUGGUUCCAGCCACUGCAAUUGUUGCAAAGUACUGGAUGACACGCUUGGUGUUGACAGUCUUUCCAGCACCAGAUUCUCCGCUGGGGAUUUAAAGGAAAAUCUUUACUUAGCAAUACAGUCAUGAAAUUCCUGAAGUAUUCUUCGUGACAUGUUGUUUAAUACUCACGUAAUGAGGAUAGACUGGUUCUCACGAUCUAAAAUAUAAGCAUACAAGCUUAAGUUAAACUUGUAUUUGACAUUCUUCUUUGUCUCUUCCACCUAAAUUCUGUUGUAACUUUGAUCUUACCAGUGAGCAUGAACUGAUAGGCAUUAUCAGAGAUGGAGAAGAUGUGCGGUGGAGCCUCAAUCCUCUUCUUGCCUCUGUAUGCCACAACAACCUGAGAAUCGUAUACAGGAAGCCACUUGUAGGGAUUCACGACGACGCAGAAGAGACCAGAGUAAGUCUGUGGUAUCAAAGACAAAAACAUCAUCAGAUUUGAUGUGCAGGCUUUACAGAUAGAAGCAAACUAUAUUAUGAGGUUGAAACAUACGUAGAUCAUCCAUGAUGCAAAACGCUCUUUGAGGUUAUACAACACAGCAGGCUCGUUGAGGUGGGUCAUCAUGGCCAUGUCCUCAAUUUUAUCAAACUUUGGAGGAUUCAUGGGAUGGAUGUCGUCCUCUUUUACAGUGACAGUCUGAAUAAUAAAAACAAUUAAACACAAAUUUCAGUGAUUAAUUGCUGAGAUCAUACUAUAGUUUAAUGAAAUUGAGAUAAAAUAGAACUUCAUUAAUCUCUGAGGAAUAUCUUGAAUAAUCUCACUCUAUUUUGUUAUGAGUUUGAUUCAAAGCGUUGUUACCCUUACCUUUCCUGUAACUGUCUCAACCGUGGCUUUGCCACCCUCUCUUUUGAGCAGUUUACCCUUGAGGUACAUCUCAUCAGUAUCAGUCACAAAGUAGGCUGUUUUGGCAUCAAAUGGAGCAGUCUGGGCCUCAAUCCUCUCUUUCUCUGGCUUCCGGAGGUAAAUGGCUGCAGGCCCAUAGGCCUCCAUCUCUGCGUCCGUGCUCAUGAUGGCACUUUAGAUGGCUGAAAAUAAGAGGUUGCUGAAUUUCUAUUGCAUUUAUUAAAAUAACUAUUAACAUGCUAGUGAUAGGCGUAUUGGGUGAUGUGUUUUGAAAUCGGGAUAUUACCAAAAAUAAAACUACAAUUUACCUCCUUUGGUCCCAGCAGAAGAUGGAAUAUAGUCAGGUAUGUUGCUCUGAUGCUAUAGUCAAGCAUGAAUACAAAGGUUAUUGAGGUUUCUAUUAGUUUCAAAAUAUGUGCAUUUAAAAAAUAAAUCCACACUGCUUUGAAACAUGAAAACACUAAUGUAUUAUUAAAUAAAGAUUUUUGUUUGCAUGCAGAGCAACAAUAAGUUUGUGUUCACAUUACAAAGCCACUAAAGUUAAUAGACCUACCUGAGGUGGAAGCCUACCAGUUAUUGUCAGAGUCCUAAGCUGUCUCUUUUAUAGAGGGAGGACUGUCUCCUCAGUAGGUGUGCCCUGCUCAGUUUGGUCAUGUAUUCUUGUCAUGUUGUCGCUAAUCCUGUGACAUUGACAUUUAUGGUGAUUAUACUCCCUUGUAAGCACAAUUGUAACAGUGGGUAUUUUUUCCUUGUGUCUAAAUUGAAUAGACAAAAGGUGCAGUGCUGCUUAAAUAAUUUUAAAAUGUAUUAAUUGCGUAAACAAUUACUUUUAGAUCUAAUGUUACACAUAUAUUAGAUUUUCUUACAUAUUCAUGAUACAUCUGAAAUUUAUAUGCAUACACAGAUUUUUAAAAGAGCAGCACUGAUGUUGGUGUUGUUAAAAUUGAGAUAUUCUAUUAUUUGCUAUUCAACAAAAACACAAGUUUGCAUUUUGUAAUUUAUUCUCACGUUACAUGUUUUUCUUUGUGUUUGUGUGAAAGACUUUGUGACUUUGUGUUUGAGAAAGCUUCAUAAAAAUGAAGAAAUAAAGCUUUACUUACUUUCUUUUGGUUUUGGAGAAGCAUGGAAAUGUCCCUGGUGUUCAGUUGCAGUUCACACUUCAGGUUUGGUAGACCAGUAAAACAAGGUCAGACAUUCUGUUCAUGGCCAUAGAUUUAAAUAAAGAUUUUAGCAUCUG